AACGAGAGAAUCGAACCCACGAAUCGAAAUCACGUACGUGACUACUUUGUUUAUAAAGAUAAACUCACAGUCGAAAUAAAAGCCACGACUAUUAUUGAUUGAAAAACUAAAACUAUUUCACAUUUUUUCCAAUGUUGUUUUUAUUUCAAUAAUUUAGUAUUGAGACCUGAUAUUUUGGAUGGAAUUAUUAAAACCAAGUAUAAGCUAAUAGGAAUAUGCAUCUAUAUAGGCCUACCUGAAAAAUACAAGGAGAACUUCGACGUUAUUGUUGACACUGACCUGUAUACACUGCCACAGACUCCGUUCUAAUAUAAAGCUAGUCUGGCUGCCUAUGACUUUCGAGAAAAUAAUAAAAGGCACAUAGUUUCACGUCCUUGAAAAUUUUCCAGACGUGGUUUAGCCUCAUCUUAUGCCCCAUACUACUUCUAUAACAUUCAAUCGAAAGCAAAACAAAAUAUAUACUGUACGGAUUGGGUGCUUUGUAAAAAGUAUACGUAGAACGUACUAUUUACUACUAUAUAACUGAUAAGAUGUUGAAUGGUUUUUGUACAUGGAAAUUUCGAGUGUAAAUUUGAUACAUCCCAGCGGGCAAAAUGACGUUUAUCCAACGUUGGAAAUGACCUUCCAGACGUUGGAUAGACGUUGAAAAAGGUUUGACUAUGCAAAUUGGAUCGACGUUACUGUUUCGACGUUGAAACAACGUUGAAAUUAGGUUGCCAAUCUCGUCAACCAUAAUUCAACGUUGAAUCCACGUUAAAACAACGUUGAGAUUGGUUCACAAAUCGACGUCGUACAUUUAACCAUGAAUGAACGUUAAUUCAACGUCUGUUGGCUGCUGUUGAACCAAUGUUUGUAAAACAACGUCAGAGCAACGUAGAUAUUAGGUUGUCGACGUCGCAACCUUUUUUCUACCAAAUUUCAACGUUGAAACAACGUCGUGUGCCCGGUGGGAU